CCAGAGAACUUAGCAGAGAUGCUUUGGUGCCUUCGGGAACUCUGAGACAGGUGCUGCAUGGCUGUCGUCAGCUCGUGUUGUGAAAUGUUGGGUUAAGUCCCGCAACGAGCGCAACCCUUAUCCUUUGUUGCCAGCGGCUCGGCCGGGAACUCAAAGGAGACUGCCGGUGAUAAACCGGAGGAAGGUGGGGAUGACGUCAAGUCAUCAUGGCCCUUACGGCCAGGGCUACACACGUGCUACAAUGGCGCAUACAAAGAGAAGCGACCUCGCGAGAGCAAGCGGACCUCAUAAAGUGCGUCGUAGUCCGGAUUGGAGUCUGCAACUCGACUCCAUGAAGUCGGAAUCGCUAGUAAUCGUAGAUCAGAAUGCUACGGUGAAUACGUUCCCGGGCCUUGUACACACCGCCCGUCACACCAUGGGAGUGGGUUGCAAAAGAAGUAGGUAGCUUAACCUUCGGGAGGGCGCUUACUACUUUGUGAUUCAUGACUGGGGUGAAGUCGUAACAAGGUAAGCGUAGCGAG
rnacentral:rRNA from 1 species